rnacentral:lncRNA from 1 species
AACACAAGUCAAGCUUGAAUUUUGUUGGCGUCACUUUUACCAUUCUAGGUGUAAAGGGGUGAAAUUUUCAGUAUACCCUAUCAAGUAUAUAUACCCUUAUAUAUGUUUGACUUGUAGCUUUCUUCGGUUAUACAUUUAUCAGGUGAAAUUAAAACGGUCUUAAGAUUUAGAAGUAUAAACAAGAAUGUGUCCAUAGUACACGCAUGCCCCAUCU